ACAUACCUGGAAAGAAAAAAGAGGGUAUAUAAAUGCUCAAUUAAUAUUUAACGUUUGGUAAGUAGAAUUCUACAGUGCUUCAAAGCCAGCUAACUAAAGUAAAUGCAAAUCUUAAGCCACUCGUAACCCCUUCUUUUCGCAUUUCCCAGCUUUUUUUUCUUCGCAGCAGCGGCUAAUUUAAAUUCAAAUUUAAAUUGAAAGGAAGAGCGCCAAAGUCAAGAAAGUGUUGAUCGCUUGGCUGCUUUAUAGCUGGAGUAAAGCAUACAUUUUUGUAAUGGACACUGAACAUGGAUGGUUUCAUGUGCUUAAUGGAAUGUGGCCAUAUCUAAAGAUAUUGCUCUUUAUAGGGCUCGAUAUCUUGGCCUGGGAUAAGAUAGCGCUGGUGAUAAUGGUAAUGAAAUAUGUCAAUAUCAAUAAAAUACCAUCGAAGAGUGGCACUUUUUGCGGCAACACUGAUGCUCGCCGAUCGCAGAUCCGCAGUUGCAUGCCACAGAUGCACGCCCCGCGAUUCGCCAGUUUUGGGUUUUAUUUUUUUUUCCUGAGGGGAUUAAAGUAUGGCUUGAGUUAGCUUGAGCUUUGCACCCACGCUUUUUGGUUGGCUUUUGGUGGCUAGCUGCCCACGCAAUCGAUAAGGGCGAGUAAAUAAUAUUUAUUUAUGCCACAAACAGCGUAACGCCCACUGCAAAAUGCUGCCUGUCAAUUAGGAGCGGAUAAAAACCCAAAACCCCUUUGCAGAUACACAAUACGCUGGCUCAUUAAGGAACUGCAGCUCCCUGGGGAUGGCUUACACACUCAUAUCGCUGACAGCCCUUAUCCUUAUCACGCAUGCAAAUUGUGUAAAAAUAAAAUGAAAUAUUGCCUAUAUAGCCCUGCUUUACUCUGUAGCAGAAACCGCUUUGAUUAAUGAUCAUAUUCUUGGGAAAUUAUAAAGUUAGCUGAACAAUAGGGAAGUAUAUGCCAGUACACAAUUGAAGAAUGCGUUUCCAUAUUCAAUGGGUUUUAAUUGCCUCUAAAGAAUUCCAUGUUUAUAUGGGAUUACUCUUUUUUUUGGAACCAGCUAUUCUUAAAAAUUACUCAUCAUUCGGCUUGUGGGACCAACUACCCAUUAGUUUUCUGCUUGUGGGACCAACUAUGCAUUAGUUUUCUGCUUGUGGGACCAACUAUGCACUAGUUAUUAGUUUGUAGAAUCAUCUAUGCACUAGUUAUUGGUUUGUAGGAUCAUCUAUGCAAUAGUUAUUGGUUUUGUGGGAUCAACUAUGCACUAGUUAUUAGUUUGUAGGAUUAACUAUGCACUAGUUAUUAGUUUGUAGAAUCAACUAUGCACUAGUUAUUGGUUUUGUAGGAUCAACUAUGCACUAGUUAUUAGUUUGUAGGAUCAUCUAUGCUCUAGUUAUUGGCUCGUAGGAUCAACUAUGCACUAGUUAUUAGUUUGUAGGAUCAUCUAUGCUCUAGUUAUUGGCUCGUAGGAUCAACUAUGCACUAGUUAUUGGUUUGUAGGAUCAACUAUGCAAUAGUUAUUGGUUUGUAGGAUCAUCUAUGCACUAGUUAUUGGUUUUGUGGGACCAACUAUGCAAUAGUUAUUAGGAUUAACUAUGCACUAGUUAUUGGCUUGUAGGAUCAUCUAUGCACUAGUUAUUGGCUUGUAGGAUCAACUGUAGCCUGGAUAUCGACUCGUAGCACCAACUAUCGACUGCCAUGUCCAACGAAGUGCAAAGACCAUAGACCACGGACCAUCAGCAUCCCCGCCAGCGAUUGCGAUGCACAUAACGCAGCAUACCACUACCCGAAUGCCCACCACGUAAUCCCCUUUGCUCCUUCAGCCAGCGGAGUCGUCAUGCAUUGCCAUUUUUGGUAUUUUCAGCCAAUUAGCGGCGCAAAGGCUUCAAAUGUUAAGUAAAAGCGAAACGGGCUAACGAAACGUGGCCAAGUCACAAGAGCUCCUUGGCCAACAGCCCAUCGCAGCCAACUGGCCGAGCAACUUGCAUUUUUAAUGGUGCUGCCACAGGCGGCGGCCAAGGAGAUUCCAAAGGGGAUUGCGAUAUGCCCACAAGAUGCUUAGCUGAAUUUUGGUCCCUUGAGAUGGUACCAAAAGAUCGUGACACGAUCUGUUUUAGGUUUUCGAAAGUGUUACAAAAAAAUCUCUGAUGUUUAUAUUUUGUAUAUGGGUGAUAGCUGAACAUUAACCUUGAUGUUAAACUUGAUAUGAAAUUAAUCACAAUCAAAGGCAUCAAACAAUAAAAUAGAGUAACACGCGGUGCGGAGCAUCAACUUAUAAAUAACAUAUGAUAAGUUAAAAAUAAAUGUAUGAAUUAUUAAAUGCGUCAUAGAUAAGAACUGUUUAGCCUUUGGAAUAAUGUUUCUUCUUAACUUCCUGCAUAACGAUGAAUCAGUCGCAAAAAUUGGAAAAACAUAACUAUUUCAUAACCUUAGAUAGAAUGUUCUAUUUGUGACUGAUGCAGAAAUUUAAUCACGCACGCGGCUGAAUCACAUUUGUCCUGAUUCCAGUCAAGAUAAUGGUAAAUAUACAUAACAGGCAAUGAUAAGAUACGCCAACUGGAUCAGAUGGUAAAAAGAGUGGGGUUUUUUUUUAUUUAUUUGUUUAUUUAUCAUUGAAGUUCUGCAAAAACGACAUAAAUCACGUGACCAUCGCUGAGCUCGUUAGCGAAGUCCAAUCAAAUGAAAUUUAUGCGGCGGCCUUAGAGAUCCUCCAUUUCUACAGCUACAUACAUACAUGUACAGUGCAUAUAUCCCUUCGAUUCCUGUGCCAUCCAACCUCCUCCCCCCACCCCCCUGUCACUCUGCGUCCCAAAUAAGGUCACGCCCGUUUGCAGGACUUUUAAUGAAGCCUUAAAUGUCAUUGAUGAAAUAACUGCGCAAGCGAUCGAUCCAUUGCGAUCCAUGUAUCCAUUCGAUCCGAAUCGAUUCCAUUCGAUUUGAUUCGAUUCGAUUCGCAGCGAUUCGAUUGUCGCCGGCUGCUAAUUAAAGCUGACCAUCUAAGGUUCGAAAACAGUCGGAAAAACCGCGUACCCCUUUUCCGCCCCUCGCUUAAUUGGCAGCCAGAUUUUCCUUUUGGGCGACAGCGAAAGUGAUGACAUCUCAGCUUAACGCGACACAGAGAGAAAAGUCGUUGUUUUCUUAAAAGUUAUGUGUAAUGUGUACAUCUGACAUGGGGUGAUAGAAAUCAAGACAAAAAAAAUUGUUUAAUUAGAAAAUUUUGGACAUAAGAAGUUUUUCCUAAUUUUCGAAAUAAAAAUGGGUUUUUUGGCUAAAACUUUGUAAAUAUUGGUUCAAAAACGUAAUGCCAUACCUCGUUAAGCUCGUAAUCGAAUUCCCAAUUGAUUUGCAUUCAAAUCUGGAGAUUUUUAUUUUUUGAAAUUUUUUACAUAUUUUUUGCCAUUUUUUAUGUUACUUUUUGUAAAUUUCAUUAAAAUGGAUCACAAAAAUUGAGCUAGGAAUUCAACUUUCUUAGGCGGCAAAAAAGUUAUGGGGCUUGUUUGUAUUGGUGCUUAGCUAUAAACAGUUAUUCUAAAAAACCACAUACCAAUUUCUCGCAGUGCACAUUUUGCGGGCGUAGUUGGAGCUGCAUUUUGUGCCCGAGACUCGAGUGCUUUUCCAUCGAUCUUUGGGGGUGGCAGUUGAAUGGCUCGCAGUUGGCUAAUUGGCUCAUUGGCUCACUGGCCUGUGGCUAAUGGAUGUUGACGCUUCCGUCUGUGUGUCAUAGAUUUACCUCCCCACUCCCCUCCCUUAUGGGUUUUCCCCCUUUCAGAUGGAUUUUCCCCUCGAUUGGGCGCAAACAAAAGGAAAAUGAAACAGUAGCCUGCAGCGAUUUUGGUCAGUUGGUCAGUUGAUUUUUGCACAGCUGGCUGGGCAACCGAAAAACAAUAAAUAAUACAUAAUACAUGUACAGCAAAAGGGGGCGUUUAAAAGGCCAACACAAAAUGAGGGGCGGAAUCCAGAACUGAAAAGCAAAAACCAAACCAUUUUGGACUUAUCACGCCCGCCAAUUAAUUCUAUACCUCACUUUUUCAUAUUUUUUGUGUUUGGACGACCUUGAAUGCGCCUUAAAAUUUGUAAAAAAAAAAAUUAUGAAAGGAAUGGAAUGCCAGUCGCAUGUUAAAGUUAUCAAAAAAAAAAAAAAAAAAAAUUUGAAAAAACUGCAGAAGAAGUAGAAGGAGCAAAGCAAAGCUAAAGAAGGUGCAACGCCCAAAGGCGAGAAAAAAGAUACAAGAAUAACCAAAGAAACUGAAACUGGAAAUCAAAAAACAGGGCAGAUACAUAAAAAUGAGGAUCUGGACUUUGUGGAGUGGAAGAAGAAACUCUCGUCGAAGGAGAAGAAAGGCCUUGAUAGCCGGGAUUUAUCAGCAGGUAAAUGGAGCCAUAACUCUCGACUAUUCCCAAACAAAGAUAAGCCUGAUGGACAGGUGAGUGCGAGAGGAGUGAGUAAACUUGGAGCAAUAACCACAGAGUGACAACUCAGCCAGAUAAAAAGCCGGCCAAACGAUGAUUCCACUUGCCCAGAUGCAGUCGAGAAAAAUAAAAAAAAAAAAAUGAUAAAAAAAAUAGAAAACGAGGUGAGAAAAUGGCUUGAUGCAUUUCCGUUUACAGUCAGCUCCAAAUCGAAUAUGUAUGUCGAAUGGAGAAGACACCAAGAUACGUAGAUACGUAGAUACAUAGAUACGUAGAUACGCAGAUACAUAGAUACAUAGAUACGUAGAUACUCAUGCUUUUCAAGGCUAAGCCACUGAAAUGCAGCCAAGCAGGCAGAAAUCCGUUAGUAAAAUACAAAUACGAAAAAAAAAAAACAAGAUGCACGGUGCUCGGUUUCUAUUUGUACUUUCCAUUUGUGUGUUGUCAACACGAAAAAAAAUCAGAGAAAAAAAAUAUAAGAAAUGAAUAAACGGCAGCAGCGA